UCGCGGCCUAUCAGCUUGUUGGUGAGGUAAUGGCUCACCAAGGCGACGACGGGUAGCCGGCCUGAGAGGGCGACCGGCCACACUGGGACUGAGACACGGCCCAGACUCCUACGGGAGGCAGCAGUGGGGAAUAUUGCACAAUGGGCGAAAGCCUGAUGCAGCGACGCCGCGUGAGGGAUGACGGCCUUCGGGUUGUAAACCUCUUUCAGCAGGGAAGAAGCGAAAGUGACGGUACCUGCAGAAGAAGCACCGGCUAACUACGUGCCAGCAGCCGCGGUAAUACGUAGGGUGCGAGCGUUGUCCGGAAUUAUUGGGCGUAAAGAGCUUGUAGGCGGUUUGUCGCGUCUGCAGUGAAAAUCCGGGGCUCAACCCCGGACUUGCUGUGGGUACGGGCAGACUAGAGUGUGGUAGGGGAGACCGGAAUUCCUGGUGUAGCGGUGGAAUGCGCAGAUAUCAGGAGGAACACCGAUGGCGAAGGCAGGUCUCUGGGCCACAACUGACGCUGAGAAGCGAAAGCAUGGGGAGCGAACAGGAUUAGAUACCCUGGUAGUCCAUGCCGUAAACGUUGGGCGCUAGGUGUGGGGCUCAUUCCACGAGCUCCGUGCCGCAGCUAACGCAUUAAGCGCCCCGCCUGGGGAGUACGG
rnacentral:rRNA from 1 species